UUUAAAGGAUGAAUUCUUUGUAUUUCUCUUGUGAACCAAGGCUUAGUCUGCUCUACCACGUUUUUUUAAAGGAGGCUUUUAUCACUCAAUUUACAUCAGUGAGUGAAGCUGCAAGAUAUUUUUCCUCUUUCGGAACUGCGUUUUUCCACCCUGAGAUAUUACACAUAAGGCUCUAGAGUGUGACUAUGCCUCAGGGUCGUGGGACUUUCAUUGUCAACCCAAUCAUUCCAAAACUCAAAUCUCUGAGUUUCCUGUGUUAUUUAAUAACAUUUUCAAUUAGGCUGCAUCUAUCAAGGUCUGGUUUGCGUUUAGGUAAAUAGGUGAGCAUAAAUGCACACUUCCUAUCUAGGAUGGAUGGGAGAGUGUACGCCAUGGAAUAUUCCCUAUCAGGUUCCCAUAUUUGGGUAAGAGUUGGCUUGGAGUUGAAACACAAUAGGGUAGUUGGACCUGAAGAAAUAUAAGAAAGUUGGCAAAGCAGAUCUGUGGGUCACCUCACUCUCCCUCUUCUGGAUUCACCUUAUCCAGAGUAAAACCUGGGCUAUAAAUCCCUAAAAAUUGUACCACCACAAGAAAUUUUCUUUUUCCUUGCUUUUAAAAUGACUAUGAGCUCACUUCUUUAAGCCUUUCCAUUUUUACUUUGCUAAGGGAAGGUGCUGAGUCUGACAAUUUGGGAACUUUGAGUUUCUACUAUACUUCUUCCUAAACUCAUAACAGAAUGCUUAUCAGAGAAUUUCAGCAGGACCAGAUUUAUCCAAAACAUUCUCUUACUGGGAAAGACCAGAGACUCUGAUGUCUUAUCCAGUGGAGUGCUGGUAAAUGUUUAACAAUAUAGCCACCAUGAUUGAUUUAGUCUCCAGUGUGUCAUCACUGGAGAAAGAGUUGGGAAGGAGCUGGCUUCAGCAUCACUGAGUUUAUGCCCCUAGGACAUUGGUCUCCAAAUUUUAGUAUGAAUCACUAUUACUAUUAUUAAAAGUAGAAAAGUUGAUUCAGAAUCUCUGGGGCUGAGGCCAGAGCAUUUAGCAAGUUUCUCCAGGUGAUCCUGAUCCAGUAGUUUGAGUUCUUGUUCCCAUGUUUAUUCCCAUACAAGGACAGAAAGUAGUCUUUUCUAGGUUGUAUUUACUGGACCAAUGUGGACAAAUGAUCAUAUGGCUGACCCAAAAUAGGCCCAAAGCACAGGCUGCCUUUUACAGCACUAUCAAGCUGAUCAACUGUGAAGGCACCCUUAGCAGAGACAUUUGCUAUUGACAUUUUAAUUUUUUUAUCUCAUGUAACUGCUGAAGUACAGUUACUAGAAACUAGUGUGAUUUAAGGAGAGUUUCUUGCUCUACAAAAGUUAUUUGGACAAAAGUACAUAACAUUGGGUACGUGGGGCUGCCACAAUCCAAAGAUGCUAUUUUGUUCCAGAAGCAUGACUUAUCACUUUGGUGGGGUGCUAUCCCGGAAUAGCUCUGAAGCUUUAAAAACUCGCUCUGAAUGCCUAUUUAAAAAAACAUCUUUUAUUUUAUGUCUUCUUUUUUAUUUUAAAACUUCU
rnacentral:lncRNA from 10 species